rnacentral:sRNA from 1 species
ACUUGCAGGGCUAACCUAGUGCCUAUAGCUAAGGCAGGUACCUGCAUCCUUGUUUUUGUUUAGUGGAUCCUCUAUCCUUCAGAGACUCUGGAACCCCUGCGGUCUUCUCUUCAUCUAAUGACCCUGAGGGGAUGGAGUUUUCAAGUCCUUCCAGAGAGGAAUGUCCCAAGCCUUCGGGUAGGGUAAGCAUCAUGGCUGGCAGCCUCACAGGAUUGCUUCUACUUCAGGCAGUGUCGUGGGCAUCAGUAGAGACGGGGUUUCACCAUGCUGGCAAGGCAGGUCUCAAACUCCUCACCUCAGGUGAUUCGCCCACCUUGGCCUCCUGAAGUGCUAGGAUUACAGGUGUGAGCCCCUGCGCCCGGCCAAGGGGUGCCCGCCCCUGCAUCCCUAAAAGCUUCGGCUACAGCUCGGUGGUCUGUGUCUGCAAUGCCACAUACUGUGACUCCUUUGACCCCCCGACCUUUCCUGCCCUUGGUACCUUCAGCCG